CCCGGCCCGAGUUGUAAUUUGGAGAGGAUGCUUUUGGCGCGGCGCCGUCCGAGUUCCUUGGAACAGGACGCCACAGAGGGUGAGAGCCCCGUACGGACGGACGCCUAACCUAUACAAAGCUCCUUCGACGAGUCGAGUAGUUUGGGAAUGCUGCUCAAAAUGGGAGGUAAAUUUCUUCUAAAGCUAAAUACCGGCCAGAGACCGAUAGCGCACAAGUAGAGUGAUCGAAAGAUGAAAAGCACUUUGAAAAGAGGGUUAAAAAGUACGUGAAAUUGUUGAAAGGGAAGCGCCUGUGACCAGACUUGCGCCCCGCGGACCACCCGGCGUUCUCGCCGGUGCACUCUGCGGGGCGCAGGCCAGCAUCGGUUCUCCUAGGGGGACAAAGGCCGCGGGAACGUAGCUCCCUUCGGGAGUGUUAUAGCCCGCGGCGGCAUGCCCCUGGGGGGACCGAGGACCGCGCUUCGGCAAAGGAUGCUGGCGUAAUGGUCACCAGCGACCCGUCUUGAAACACGGACCAAGGAGUCAAAGCAUUGGGGCGAGUGUAUGGGUGCCAAACCCGCACGCGAAAUGAAAAGUAAACGCAGGUGAGAGCUUCGGCGCAUCAUCGACCGAUCCUGAUGUCUUCGGAUGGAUUUGAGUAAGAGCCUUACCGCUUGGACCCGAAAGAUGGUGAACUAUGCCUGAAUAGGGUGAAGCCAGAGGAAACACUGGUGGGAGGCACGCAGCGGCUCUGACGUGCAAAUCGAUCGUCAAAUUUGGCAUGG
rnacentral:rRNA from 1 species